UACGUAGGGCGCAAGCGUUGUCCGGAAUUAUUGGGCGUAAAGAGCUCGUAGGCGGCCUGUUGCGUCCGCUGUGAAAUCCCGGGGCUCAACCCCCGGGCGUGCAGUGGAUACGGGCUGGCUGGAGGCAGGCAGGGGAGAACGGAAUUCCUGGUGUAGCGGUGAAAUGCGCAGAUAUCAGGAGGAACACCGGUGGCGAAGGCGGUUCUCUGGGCCUGUACUGACGCUGGAGGAGCGAAAGCGUGGGGAGCGAACAGG
rnacentral:rRNA from 1 species